UGUGUGUGUGUGUGUGUAUGUUCAACUAGUGGACAAAGGCAGGUUAGACAGGAACAAAAUAAAUCUUAUUUUGUAGUGCGAAUUCAUUGUUCAGUAUGAGUUUUGAUAUAUACAAGAUCAGAUCAC